UCGGAUGUGGUGCACGGUGCACAUCAGCUAUCGUUAUUGAUGUUUGUCCAUUUCACAAGCUGAAAGCUGGGGUUCGACUCCCCGCAUCCGAA